rnacentral:rRNA from 1 species
GCUUGUCUCAAAGAUUAAGCCAUGCAUGUCUAAGUAUAAGCAAUCUAUACAGUGAAACUGCGAAUGGCUCAUUAAAUCAGUUAUCGUUUAUUUGAUAGUACCUUACUACUUGGAUAACCGUGGUAAUUCUAGAGCUAAUACAUGCUAAAAAUCCCGACCUCCGGAAGGGAUGUAUUUAUUAGAUAAAAAACCAAUGCCUUCGGGCUCCUUGGUGAUUCAUGAUAACUUAACGAAUCGCAUGGCCUUGCGCCGGCGAUGGUUCAUUCAAAUUUCUGCCCUAUCAACUUUCGAUGGUAGGAUAGUGGCCUACCAUGGUUUCAACGGGUAACGGGGAAUUAGGGUUCUAUUCCGGAGAGGGAGCCUGAGAAACGGCUACCACAUCCAAGGAAGGCAGCAGG